GAUGAACGCUGGCGGCGUGCCUAAUACAUGCAAGUCGAGCGAACGGACGAGAAGCUUGCUUCUCUGAUGUUAGCGGCGGACGGGUGAGUAACACGUGGAUAACCUACCUAUAAGACUGGGAUAACUUCGGGAAACCGGAGCUAAUACCGGAUAAUAUUUUGAACCGCAUGGUUCAAAAGUGAAAGACGGUCUUGCUGUCACUUAUAGAUGGAUCCGCGCUGCAUUAGCUAGUUGGUAAGGUAACGGCUUACCAAGGCAACGAUGCAUAGCCGACCUGAGAGGGUGAUCGGCCACACUGGAACUGAGAAACGGUCAAGACUCCUACGGGAGGCAGCAGUAGGGAAUCUUCCGCAAUGGGCGAAAGCCUGACGGAGCAACGCCGCGUGAGUGAUGAAGGUCUUCGGAUCGUAAAACUCUGUUAUUAGGGAAGAACAUAUGUGUAAGUAACUGUGCACAUCUUGACGGUACCUAAUCAGAAAGCCACGGCUAACUACGUG
rnacentral:rRNA from 1 species